rnacentral:rRNA from 1 species
CUACGGAGGGCGCAAGCGUUAUUCGGAAUCACUGGGCGUAAAGGACGCGUAGGCGGGUUGGCAAGUCAGAUGUGAAAUCCUACAGCUUAACUGUAGAACUGCACUUGAAACUACCAACCUAGAGUAUGGGAGGGGGAGAUGGAAUUAGUGGUGUAGGGGUAAAAUCCGUAGAUAUCACUAGGAAUACCGAAAGCGAAGGCGAUCUCCUGGAACAUAACUGACGCUAAGGCGUGAAAGCGUGGGGAGCAAACAGGAUUAGAAACCCUAGUAGUCC